CGGACGGGUGAGUAACGACGUAGGAACCUGACGCGCAGUGGGGAGUAACGCUGGGAAACCGGCGCUAAUACCGCAUGUGGUCGCAAGAAGAAAGCAGCAAUGCGCUGUGUGAGGGGCCUGCGUCCGAUUAGCUAGUUGGUGGGGUAAAGGCGUACCAAGGCACCGAUCGGUAGCUGGUCUGAGAGGAUGAUCAGCCACACUGGGACUGAGACACGGCCCAG
rnacentral:rRNA from 1 species